ACACCCGGCGGUGCCACCCCCGGGGCGGGGGAGGGGACGCCGUGGUGUCCUCGGGGGUUUUGGGGUCACAGUGCCACCCUCGGGGACCGGGCGUGGCCUCCGCGGCGGUGGGGUCACCUGCGGGGUCACAGUGUCACCCACAGGGACGUGGGGUCACCUGCAGGGUCACAGUGUCACCUGCAGGGUCACAGUGUCACCUGCGGGGUCACAGUGUCACCCACAGGGAUGUGGGGUCACCCACAGGGGUCGCAGUGUCACCUGCAGGGUCACAGUGUCACCUGCGGGGUCACAGGGUCACUCAUGGGGUCACAGUGUCACCCACAGGGACAUGGGGUCACCCACAGAGGCACAGUGUCACCUGUGGGGUCACGGUGUCACCUGCAAGGUCACAGGGUCACCCACGGGGACGUGGGGUCACCCACAGGUUCACGGUGUCACCCACAGGGACAUGGCGUCACCUGCGGGGUCACAGUGUCACCGUGGGAAUGUGGUGUCACCCACAGUGAUGUGGUGUCACUCGCGGGGACAGGCAUUGAUUGGUGUCACCCACAGGGUCACAGUGUCACCUCUGGGGUCACAGCGUCACCCCAGGGACAGGGACACCCAGCGCUGUCCCCUGGGGCUGUCGGUGGCCGUGCUCUCACCUUGGGUGUCACACAUCGUGGCCGUGGUGGCACUUUGGGGACGAAACGUGUCCUCAGCGGGGACCUGUCCCAAUCCUUGUCACCCCGAGUGUCACCUCAGGUGCCACCAGCUGUCCUUUUCCUCCCUGGUGUCACCGCCAGGCCACAGGGAUCCUCGUCCUCGCUGUCACUCGCUGCCGCAGGGACCCGUCCUGUCCUCGGUGUCCCCAAAGUCCCCGCGAGUGCCACAACUCCUUGUCCUCGCUGUCACCGCAGCUGCCGCCAGGGCCGGUUCCCGUCCUCGCCGGUGUCACCGGAGUCCCGGUGCUGUCACUGUCCUUGUGCUCGCCGUCCCUGCGGUGUCACCCAGGCGACACCUUCCUCCUCCUCCUCCUCCCCCUCGCCGGUGCCACAGGGUCCCCUCCGUGUCCGUGUCCGUGUCCGUGUCCCUCACUGUCCCUGCUGCCACCGCAGCGUGUCCUUGUCCUCGCUGCUGCCACCUCAGCAGCCGGGGGUGUCACCCCCUCCGUGUCCUCGCUGUCANCCACAGUCUCACCUGCGCACUAAACCACACCCACAGCCUCACCUGGGCGCUUAACCCCGCCCAUAGCACAGAAGUCACGCCCACAGCCUCACCUGGGCACUAAACCCCGCCCACAGGGGGGGGGGGGGGGGGGGGGGGGGGGG
rnacentral:lncRNA from 1 species